GACGAACGCUGGCGGCGUGCUUAACACAUGCAAGUCGAACGGAAAGGCCCUGCUUGCAGGGUACUCGAGUGGCGAACGGGUGAGUAACACGUGGGUGAUCUGCCCUGCACUUCGGGAUAAGCCUGGUAAACUGGGUCUAAUACCGGAUAGGAGCCAUUUUUAGUGUGAUGGUUGGAAAGUUUUUUCGGUGUAGGAUGAGCUCGCGGCCUAUCAGCUUGUUGGUGGGGUAAUGGCCUACCAAGGCGGCGACGGGUAGCCGGCCUGAGAGGGUGGACGGCCACAUUGGGACUGAGAGACGGCCCAGACUCCUACGGGAGGCAGCAGUGGGGAAUAUUGCACAAUGGGCGCAAGCCUGAUGCAGCGACGCCGCGUGGGGGAUGACGGCCUUCGGGUUGUAAACUCCUUUCGCUAGGGACGAAGCUUUUUGUGACGGUACCUAGAUAAGAAGCACCGGCUAACUACGUG
rnacentral:rRNA from 1 species